CUAAUGCAUUUGCUUAUUGCACCACAUGUGUUUUUCUUUGAAACAAACUUGCUUUGGCGGUGGGCCCAGCCUGCCGCCAGAGGUCUAAACUUACAACCAAUUUUUUAUCAACUUGUCACACCAGAUUAUUACUAAUAGUCAAAACUUUCAACAACGGAUCUCUUGGUUCUCGCAUCGAUGAAGAACGCAGCGAAAUGCGAUACGUAAUAUGAAUUGCAGAUAUUCGUGAAUCAUCGAAUCUUUGAACGCACAUUGCGCCCUCUGGUAUUCCGGAGGGCAUGCCUGUUUGAGCGUCGUUUCUCCCUCAAACCGCUGGGUUUGGUGUUGAGCAAUACGACUUGGGUUUGCUUGAAAGACGGUAGUGGUAAGGCGGGAUCGCUUUGACAAUGGCUUAGGUCUAACCAAAAACAUUGCUUGCGGCGGUAACGUCCACCACGUAUAUCUUCAAACUUUGACCUCAAAUCAGGUAGGACUACCCGCUGAACUUAAGCAUAUCAAUAAGCGGAGGAA
rnacentral:rRNA from 1 species